rnacentral:rRNA from 1 species
GACGGGGGGGGCAAGCGUUGUCCGGAUUCAUUGGGCGUAAAGAGCUCGUAGGCGGUUCGAUAAGUCGGGUGUGAAACCUCCAGGCUCAACCUGGAGACGCCACCCGAUACUGUCGUGACUAGAGUCCAGUAGGGGAGCGUGGAAUUCCUGGUGUAGCGGUGAAAUGCGCAGAUAUCAGGAGGAACACCGGUGGCGAAGGCGGGUCUCUGGGCCGAUACUGACGCUGAGGAGCGAAAGCGUGGGGAGCGAACAGG